rnacentral:misc_RNA from 1 species
UUUUGUCCAUUUUCAUUGAAGAUCUAUUCGAUUUUAAUCCAAAUUUUGCUGUUGGUGAUAUUAUAUACUAUUUUGCUGUUGUUGAUAUUGAGGGCAAAGAAGACUGGCGAUUGUCGCAGAAGUCUGUUGAAUGGCAGAUACGCCGCAUCUCCAUUAUAUCUUGGAUUUUUCUCACUUAAACUUAGUACUAGGAGAAGUUGCAGUUGUGUUGAGAAAAAGAAAACAGUGCGUUAACUUCAAUAUUUUUCAAGAAGGAGAACAAUGCUGACUGUGGUGCGGGUUCAUCUCCCGUCUGACAUUCCCAUAGUAGGCUGUGAACUUACCCCCUAUGUUUUGUUGCGUCUUCCUGAUUCAUUACUCAUUUCUGAUGAUAUCCCUGAAUCCGCCCCUGUUUACGGCUGUUUCUUGAGAUAUAAGUGGUACCGAAUACAAAGUGAUAAACAUGUUGCCAUGUGCAGCAUCCAUCCAUCUGAGCAAGCUACACUGCAG